UACAGAGGUCUCAAGCGUUGUUCGGAUUCAUUGGGCGUAAAGGGUGUGUAGGUGGCGCGCUAAGUCGGGUGUGAAAUUUCGGAGCUUAACUCCGAAACUGCAUUCGAUACUGGCGUGCUUGAGGAUUGGAGAGGAGACUGGAAUUCAUGGUGUAGCAGUGAAAUGCGUAGAGAUCAUGAGGAAGACCAGUGGCGAAGGCGGGUCUCUGGACAGUUCCUGACACUGAGACACGAAGGCCAGGGGAGCAAACGGG
rnacentral:rRNA from 1 species